UGGGGAAUCUUCCGCAAUGGACGAAAGUCUGACGGAGCAACGCCGCGUGAGUGAAGACGGCCUUCGGGUUGUAAAGCUCUGUGAUCCGGGACGAAAGAGCCUGAGGUGAAUAGCCUAAGGAAGAGACGGUACCGGAAAAGCAAGCCACGGCUAACUACGUGCCAGCAGCCGCGGUAAUACGUAGGUGGCAAGCGUUGUCCGGAAUUAUUGGGCGUAAAGCGCGCGCAGGCGGCUUCCUAAGUCCAUCUUAAAAGUGCGGGGCUUAACCCCGUGAUGGGAUGGAAACUGGGAAGCUGGAGUAUCGGAGAGGAAAGUGGAAUUCCUAGUGUAGCGGUGAAAUGCGUAGAGAUUAGGAAGAACACCGGUGGCGAAGGCGACUUUCUGGACGAAAACUGACGCUGAGGCGCGAAAGCGUGGGGAGCAAACAGG
rnacentral:rRNA from 1 species